rnacentral:rRNA from 1 species
GGGGAGGGGCGGGGCGGGUGGACAUCUUGACAACCCUAGGAUAGGGUUUCCCUUGGGGACAGAGUGACAGGUGGUGCAUGGUUGUCGUCAGCUCGUGUCGUGAGAUGUUGGGUUAAGUCCCGCAACGAGCGCAACCCUUGAUCUUAGUUGCCAGCAUUUAGUUGGGCACUCUAAGGUGACUGCCGGUGACAAACCGGAGGAAGGUGGGGAUGACGUCAAAUCAUCAUGCCCCUUAUGACCUGGGCUACACACGUGCUACAAUGGACAGAACAAAGGGCUGCGAGACCGCAAGGUUUAGCCAAUCCCACAAAUCUGUUCUCAGUUCGGAUCGCAGUCUGCAACUCGACUGCGUGAAGCUGGAAUCGCUAGUAAUCGCGGAUCAGCAUGCCGCGGUGAAUACGUUCCCGGGCCUUGUACACACCGCCCGUCACACCACGAGAGUUUGCAACACCCGAAGUCGGUGAGGUAACCUUUAUGGAGCCAGCCGCCGAAGGUGGGGCAGAUGAUUGGGGG